rnacentral:lncRNA from 1 species
CAAAUUUGAAAAUUAUUCAUGUAUAAAUUGAUAUAUUUAUAUUCUAAUUCUUCAUCAAUAGAUCUACUUAUUAUGACAAAUCUGCCAUCAUCAGGGGUCCAACUGUCAAUUUUAUGUAAAAGUCUUUAACUUUGAUCCACUAUGCAUAUCUCGAACACUUUUGUGUUUGCUAUGCGCAAUUAUUGGUGCAGCAUUGAAUAUUUGUACACAAUCUUCGUCAAACUGUAAUAAAUGCCACUUUGAAAUUAGUUAGAUUGUUUAUUAAUUUGUAAUGAUCACUUGUGUUU